UGGACUAGUAAAUCCAGAGACAAGGGAACCAGAUGAUGUAGGAAGGAGUCCAGGGAAAUAAGAACAGGGUCUGGGAACAAGAAGACCAUAGUUGCUAGACAUUGGGUCCCUGGACUGGAACCUGGAGUAGAAGGUGGGCCCAGGUGCCCAAUGGGGAACUGGCGCAGUCUGGGCAGUGAAUGGGAAGACUGCCUGAAACAGUUUGUAUGUGGAGACUUUGAUGCCCCCAAAUGGGAAAACAUACAGUGACCUGGCUGGAGGGCCAAACUAUGAAGAGACAGCAUCCUGAGUCACAAAGAGAGAGGCAGCAGGGUUUGUGAACCAGUAGCAGCAGGGGGCAUCACUCUAAGAAGGAGCUAAUCCCAACCAAAAGGAGGUACCCUAGUGAGCACCAGGCUGGGAAGCACCAUUGGAAUGCAGACUUCCUUUCCUGAACAGCAGAAGACGGGGAGCUCUGUCCAGUGCCCCGACCUGCCCACUCAAGGGGGAAGGAGCAUUCACUUUAUCUUGGAGGAUUUCCAUGGAAAAUAGGUUUUAGAGCUGCAACCUCACGAACAG